AGGUGUCCGCUGCGAAAUGGGAUGCCCAGUGCCUAUGCCAAGCACUCCCCCCCACCCAUCAAGGAGGGAUGGGUGCAUGGCAUGGGCACUACCUCCCGUCGUUGGGUGGCGACGGGGGGAUGUCGGUCCGGUGGUCUCCGACCGCCGUUCCGACCGUCGGUCCGGUGAAAACGGUCAGGUUGGCUAGUAGGGCUGCGAUGCUAUUUUUUGAGAGGAGAGGGACGGCACACCUCGGAUUUCGGUCUUUCCAACGUAUUCGGAGGGCAUUCGUGACCAUGGCUUCGGCUUUGGGACGAGCGAGCGAACGGAGAUUACUGCGGUCGGGUCAAGAUUUGAGGUUUAACCUCUCGGGGGAGCGCAGAACUGUCUCUAUUUUCUCGUCUGGCCGUUGAUGGAGAUAAUUCAUUAUUCUCCAUCCUGUCCCGUCGGAAAUUUUUAAAACUUGGUCUGGUGGGCUAGUGGUGCUGUGUUGAUCUUUCUCGAGGGGAGAGGGACGGUUCAUCUCGGAUCUCGAUCUUUCCAACGUGUUCGAAGGGCAUUCGUGACCAUGGCUUCGGCUUUGGGACGAGCGAGCGAACGGAGAAUACCGCGGUCGGGUCAAGAUUUGAGUUUUAACCUCUCGGGGGAGCGCAACACUGUCUCUACUUUCUCGUUUGGCCGUCGAUGGAGAUAUUUCACUCUUCUCCAUCCUGUCCCGUCGGAAAUUUUUAAAACUUGGUCUGGUGGGCUAGUGGUGCUGUGUUGAUCUUUCUCGAGGGGAGAGGGACGGUUCAUCUCGGAUCUCGAUCUUUCCAACGUGUUCGAAGGGCAUUCGUGACCAUGGCUUCGGCUUGUGCUAACUUGAUGCAUCAUAAGGUUUGUUGCGGUGGGUUGGGCGUAAUGGAGAGUCGUUGGUUUUUUAAAAUGCUUUCCAAAUGUCCCUUAAAGGUUUUCGUCCCUCGGAUUGAGAUUAUUCAUUACGCUCCAUAUCAAAACAUUCCGAAAAAAUGCGGAAGAACUAGCAUGCUUCGGCUUGUGCUAACUUGAUGCAUCAUAAGGUUUGUUGCGGUGGGUUGGGCGUAAUGGAGAAUCGUUGGUUUCUUAAAAUGCUUUCCAAAUGUCCCUUAAAGGUUUUCGUCCCUCGGAUUGUGUGUUUCUUCACGUGAAGCGGUGCUGGUGUUGUCUUGCUUGAUGUUUCCACAUGCUCAGCGGUUCUAGUAACCCUUGGGUUGUGGUUCGUUUGGUUGGGUCAUCAUCAGACGUACGCAACUCAUGUGUGAGUGGUGGUCGGAUGGCAUGGGUUUGCAAGCUCCUUGCUCAGCGCAACGAAUUGUAAGCCCUCCAUCCUUUUCACAGUCUUCCCUCAAGCAUGGUCAUUUGCCUUGUGGGUAAGAUCGGUAUCCUGUGUUUUUUACCAAUUGAAUGGAAUUCGAUUGUUUUCGUUUCCUUAUUCGCCCGGUUCCCUUAGGGGUGUUGGGUGGACGAUAGGCUGACCCCGUGUUCCAGGUACAUCUCGCAUUUCUGUGUGGUUACCAUGGCCCAUGGGGUUAUGCUUGUUCUCUCGGAUGCGGACCGUUAGUUGUGGGCGAGGGGUUACGACCUCCAUUCGUCCAAGCUAUAUUAUGCAUUUGUCAAUCGACACGAACGACUGCCGCACUCGUCUUGGCUUUUUACAGUCGAAUGGCUGUACAAUGUCCAUGCGAGUGUCGGUGUCGUGAAGGAAUGC
rnacentral:misc_RNA from 1 species